UUAUGCUAUAUAAGAAGGAUCAUAAAGCAUAAAGGAAAGAGAAAAAGUGGUUCCUCGGAAUUGUUAGGUUUCUUGUGAAUGAAGUAAUAAUGAUGAUUGGGGCAUUAUUUGAUGGAUAUCGAGGACCGUGUCUUAGUUAGGAGGAGGAAGAAGAAGAAAUCGGUGGUGGUUUUGGUAUUGUAAUGGAGGAAGAGAAGAAGCAGAUCUCUUUUCCCUCCGAUUACGUCACUAUUUUUGAACUUCAGGAACGUUGGCUCAAAGAAAAACAAUUAAAGCAACAACAACAGCAAGAUCACCACAACGCUGUAGUGUCUCCGGCUCAGAUUUUUUGCUGGGAAGUUCCCGUAUCGGAGAUCGUUGUCGUCGGAGGGGUUGAUGGCCAGGGCGAUAGUGCUGAUCAAGUGGGAGAAGAAGGCGAGGAAGCUAAGGCUAAGGCUAAGGCGAAGAAGAAGAAGAAGAAGAACCGGAAGAAAUUGAAGGGAAAGAAGCUUGAGAAGGAGGUAACCGGAGAGGGAAUUGAGGUGCAGCUGCCGUUGGCGAAUGACGAGAAGGAAGAGUUGAAAGAGAGAAGAAGCAAAAGAAGUAGACCAAAUAAAGGUAAAUUUAGGGCAGAGUUAGUUGAUAUCGAUACAAAAUCCAGGGUGUUGCCUGCGAUGGUAGAGAAGGAGGUCGCAGGAAAGGAAGUUGUGGUGCAGACGCCAUUGACGGAAGGGGAUAAGGAAGACAUAUCAGGGAGAAGGAUCCAAAAAAGCAGAAAAAUUAAGACUCGUAUCAAAUCAAAAGUUGGGGAUUCGUCUGUAAACGGUAAGAAGAUUUAUGUUAGGGUUGAAAAGGGGCUUCCUGAAAAGGAAGCUAUGGCGGUGAAUGUGAAUGGCGAGAAGGAACAAGUGUUUGGAAGAAGAAAGCAAAAAAGUAGAGCUAGAGGUAAAACUAGGGUAGAGAGCAGUAAUUUAAAUCAGAAAGCUCAUAACAAAUCAGUGUUUGCAAGUGCAAAUGGUAAGAAACUUUAUCUUACGUUAGAAGAGGAGCUUCCUGUAAAGCAGGCGCCAUUGACGAAUGACGAUGAGGAAGACGUGCUUACCCGAACGAACCAAGAAAGCAGAAGUGGAAAUAAGGCAGAGAGCAGUGAUUUGGAUCAGACGGCUGACGUUGCACUCAAAUUUGGGGGUUUGUCUGGAACAAGAAGUGACUUUAAGGCAGAGAACAAUGAUUCUGCUCAGAAGGCUAUUAUCGAACCUAAAUUUAGUGCUUUGUCCCUAAAUGGUGGAACUGGGGAAAAUGGUAAUCGGUUAAAGAGAACAAGCGCUCAUCACAAUCGUGGUUAUCGGGAGUCCAGUAGAUAUGGGUCUGGGAGGUUCGGUGGCCGUGAAGUACAUAAACCACAAGAUACUAGAAUGGUUUGGGUGAAGAAAGAUGAGGUCUCUGAUGGUAAUCUAUCUGGAACUCAAAAACCAAGGAGCAGCCGUGCUAAAUCUGAUUUUGAUCGGAGAACUAAGAGAGGAGGAGGGGCAAAUGCAGUGGCAUAGAGACCAUCGGACACUGCUAGUGAGGGAAAACAAAAGUGCGCUCCUGUCCCAAGUUGAGAAAAGCCAAUCAAUUUUUUAUAUUAAGUCAUGUACUUUGGACCCCUGGUAUUUCUACAGAUGCGACAGUGUGCGACUUUACUAGUUCAAGGUACGCCUUCACCCUUUUUUGUGCUUAAUGGGUCUAAAUUAGCGUUACUUGGGAAGGAGUGUCUCAGCUGGAGCUCCUCGUGAGCUAAUUUAUGUAUAUGCACCCGUUUGUACAUAUACCCUCCUUCGCAUCCAGCAGUUGGUUAUUUCGAGUACUUAUAUCUGGAGGUUUUGAGCUUAUUCCUUUGUGUUUUGUAGUACACUUUCUACAUACACUUGCACUCAUAUCACCAACGCGACGCGACUUUAUGGCAUGUGAGGGGUCGUCUAGCGUUCCUCCGGGGGUUGAGUUUGUAGACUUGUCCUCAGACUCAGGGUCCCUUGAAAACAACCCUUACCAAAACUAUGACACCUUGAGGAGGGCCCGUAUGUGUCAUCUUGAACGCAUGGCCGAGCUUAGGUAUAAAAUCUGGGUGGUGGAGAGUGAGGGGUGAUGGAUUCCCUUUCUCCUUUGAUCUUAAUGAUCACAUUGCAAGCCUUAGAGUGAACCUCCUUAACCUACGAAUGGAGCUAGAGUUCAUGGAGGGAAACCUACCUCCGGAACCCUCAGCCCUGUGUUCUCCAUAUAGUAGCCCCGAGGUCACCCCUGGUUCCCCUCAACCCUUGUCCUUAAUCCACUUGUGUUUGAUGCUUCCACACCCAAUGUCCCUGUGGAAAACUCAUGCAAGAAGAAUAAAAUGGAGGGUAAAGUGCUCUGUUUUAACCUCACGUUUUUCCCUUGGUUUUGCAAACAUGUCAAAGAGAAUGAGACGACAUGUCACUCCCGAGAAGUUGGACUCCGGUCCUUUAUUGGCAUUCAGCAUCAUUUCCCACGUGUCAGAAACAGGCUGCUAGAGUUGUCUGAGAAAUACCGCAUUAGCAAAGAGUACAAGCUGUAUGUACCCUCCAACAAGUGACGGGCUGAUAACCCCCAAGGGCUGUCGCUAUGAGCGAACAUAUUUUGAAGGCG